rnacentral:rRNA from 1 species
UACAGAGGUCUCAAGCGUUGUUCGGAUUCAUUGGGCGUAAAGGGUGCGUAGGUGGCGCUGUAAGUCGGGUGUGAAAUUUCGGAGCUUAACUCCGAAACUGCAUUCGAUACUGCGGUGCUUGAGGACUGGAGAGGAGACUGGAAUUCAUGGUGUAGCAGUGAAAUGCGUAGAGAUCAUGGAGGAAGACCAGUGGCGAAGGCGGGUCUCUGGACAGUUCCUGACACUGAGGCACGAAGGCCAGGGGAGCAAACGGG